UACGUAGGGGGCUAGCGUUGUCCGGAUUUAUUGGGCGUAAAGAGCGUGUAGGCGGCUGGGUAGGUCCGUUGUGAAAACUCGAGGCUCAACCUCGAGACGCCGAUGGAAACCCCCCAGCUAGAGUCCGGAAGAGGAGAGUGGAAUUCCUGGUGUAGCGGUGAAAUGCGCAGAUAUCAGGAAGAACACCCGUGGCGAAGGCGGCUCUCUGGGACGGUACUGACGCUGAGACGCGAAAGCGUGGGGAGCGAACAGG
rnacentral:rRNA from 1 species